rnacentral:rRNA from 1 species
GACGGGGGAUGCAAGCGUUAUCCGGAAGCACUGGGCGUAAAGCGUCUGUAGGUGGUGAUGCAAGUCACUGGUGCAAAACUCUGGCUCAACCGGAGGAAAGCCAGUGAAACUGCAUGACUAGAGUGUGGGAGAGGUAGAAGGAAUUCCCUGAGUAGCGGUGAAAUGCGUAGAUACAGGGAAGAACACCGGAGGCGAAAGCGUUCUACUGGAACACAACUGACACUGAGAGUCGAAAGCUAGGGGAUCUAAUUGG